ANUCUAGCUUGCUNGAGAUGAUAAGUGGCGGACGGGUGAGUAACAUUUAGGAAUCUGNUANUAGUGGGGGAUAGCUNGGGGAAACUNGAAUUAAUACCCGCAUNCGACNUACGGGUGAANGGGGGGCGCAAGCUCUUGCUAUUAGAUGAGCNUAAAUCAGAUUAGAUAGUUGGUGGGGUAAAGGCCCACCAAGGCGACGAUCUGUAAAUGGUCUGAGAGGAUGAUCAGUCACACCGGAACUGAGACACGGUCCGGACUCCUACGGGAGGCAGCAGUGGGGAAUAUUGGACAAUGGGGGCAACCCUGAUCCAGCCAUGCCGCGUGUGUGAAGAAGGCCUUUUGGUUGUAAGGCACUUUAAGCAGGGAGGAGAGGCUAAUGGUUAAUACCCAUUAGAUUAGACGUUACCUGCAGAAUAAGCACCGGCUAACUCUGUGCCAGCAGCCGCGGUAAUACAGAGGGUGCGAGCGUUAAUCGGAAUUACUGGGCGUAAAGCGAGUGUAGGUGGCUCAUUAAGUCACAUGUGAAAUCCCCGGGCUUAACCUGGGAACUGCAUGUGAUACUGGUGGUGCUGGAAUAUGUGAGAGGGAAGUAGAAUUCCAGGUGUAGCGGCGAAAUGCGUAGAGAUCUGGAGGAAUACCGAUGGCGAAGGCAGCUUCCUGGCAUAAUAUUGACACUGAGAUUCGAAAGCGUGGGUAGCAAACAGG
rnacentral:rRNA from 1 species